UGGGAACACAGGCUGACCCCUGGGUCUGAGGAGAGGGUGGAGGGAGGCCUUUGGCCUCGACCUUGAAGAGCGUCUCCCUUCACCUUGGAUCCAGUGUGAAGCAUCUGGGCCUGCAUCUCGCUGUCUUCCAGAAAAGCAGGCAGGAAACAAGCGUGAGAAGGCCUGAGAAGAGGGCUAGUCAGCCUGGAGGGGAAUCAGGUGGGCGAAAAUGAAAAUGAAUUUUCCUUUAUGUUCCUCUUGGGUUUCCUUUCAUGCUAUUACUGAAACCAGGGUCAAGAGGCCAUCUAGUUCAUAACCCAGGAUCAACCCACUCCGGAAGCCUGUAAGGACCAGUAGGGGAGACUGUUCUUCCUUGGUGCCCCACACUGGUGUUGUCACACUUUCCAACAGCAAUAAAGCAGGCUGCUUCUCGUCCUCUGUGGAGUGGAUCCUCCUGGGCUGGGUCCUUCUGCAUGCUCAAAGCCGGCUAAUAAGGGACCCCUGAACCUGUGUGUGUGAAUACAAGUUUUAAUGGUACUAUAGAGAUAUAAUUCAUAUGCCACACAAUUCACCCUUUGAAGUGCACAGUUCAAUGGCUUUUGGUAUAUUCAUGGCUGUACAACUAUCACCACUAUCCCAUUCUGAACAUUUUCAUCACCCCAGAAAGAAAUCCCACAUCUCUUAGCUAUCACCUCCCCGAAUCUCCCCCAGGCCACCAGGCCCAGGCAACCAGUAAUCUGCUCUCUGUCUCUACAGACUUGUCCGUUCUGAACAUUUCAUAUAAAUGGAAUCAUACAAUAUAUGUUUUUUCUGACUGACUUCUUUCACUUAGCUCAGUAUUUUCAAGGUUCAUCCAUGUUGCAGCGUGUGUUGGCACUUCAUUCCUUUUUACGAUGAAUAAUGUUCCAUUUUGUGGAUGAACCACAUUAAUUUAACCAUUCCUCGUGGACAGUUGAGUUGUUUCCAUUUUUGGGCUAUUAUGAAUAAUCUGCUAUGAACAUUUGUGUACAAGUUUCUGUGUGGACACACUUUCAGUUCUUUUGGGUAUAUACCUAGGAGUGGAAUCUCUUGGUCAUGUGAUAAACUCUGUGUUCAAUCUUUUGAGGAACUGCCAGACUGUUUCCCAAUGCACCAUUUCAAUGCAGCAUUUUGCAUUCCUACCAGCCAUGUAUGAGAGUUCCAGUUUCUUCAUAUCCUCAGCAACCCUCGUCUAUCAUCUUUUUCUGAUUAAAGCCAUCUUAGUGAGUGUGAAGUGGUGUUUCACUACAGUUUUGAUUUGCAUUUCCUUGAUGUCUUGAGCUUUCGUUUUUGAGAGAUUAAACCUGUUUUAGAACUUUAAAACUGGGGCUGGCCCGAUGGCCAAAUGGUUAAGUUCACACGCUUCACUUCAGCGGCCCAGGAUUUCGCCAGUUUGAAUCCUGGGCACAGACAUGGCACUGCUCAUCAGGCCAUGCUGAGGCGGCAUCCCACAUAGCACAA
rnacentral:lncRNA from 1 species